rnacentral:tRNA from 1 species
GCCUGAGUGGCUCAGUCGGUUGAGCGUCCGACUUCGGCUCAGGUCACGAUCUCGCGGUUCGUGAGUUCGAGCCCCGCGUCGGGCU